UUCUAAGUGUGGAUGAUUGUUGAGUGAA
rnacentral:piRNA from 1 species